rnacentral:rRNA from 1 species
AUUGAACGCUGGCGGCAGGCCUAACACAUGCAAGUCGAACGGUAACAGGAAACAGCUUGCUGUUUCGCUGACGAGUGGCGGACGGGUGAGUAAUGUCUGGGAAACUGCCUGAUGGAGGGGGAUAACUACUGGAAACGGUAGCUAACACCGCAUAACGUCGCAAGACCAAAGAGGGGGACCUUCGGGCCUCUUGCCAUCGGAUGUGCCCAGAUGGGAUUAGCUAGUAGGUGGGGUAACGGCUCACCUAGGCGACGAUCCCUAGCUGGUCUGAGAGGAUGACCAGCCACACUGGAACUGAGACACGGUCCAGACUCCUACGGGAGGCAGCAGUGGGGAAUAUUGCACAAUGGGCGCAAGCCUGAUGCAGCCAUGCCGCGUGUAUGAAGAAGGCCUUCGGGUUGUAAAGUACUUUCAGCGGGGAGGAAGGGAGUAAAGUUAA